rnacentral:rRNA from 1 species
AAUCCAUAGGUUAAUGAGGCGAACCGGGGGAACUGAAACAUCUAAGUACCCCGAGGAAAAGAAAUCAACCGAGAUUCCCCCAGUAGCGGCGAGCGAACGGGGAGGAGCCCAGAGCCUGAAUCAGCAUGUGUGUUAGUGGAAGCGUCUGGAAAGGCGCGCGAUACAGGGUGACAGCCCCGUACACAAAAGCGCAUGUGCUGUGAGCUCGAUGAGUAGGGCGGGACACGUGGUAUCCUGUCUGAAUAUGGGGGGACCAUCCUCCAAGGCUAAAUACUCCUGACUGACCGAUAGUGAACCAGUACCGUGAGGGAAAGGCGAAAAGAACCCCGGCGAGGGGAGUGAAAAAGAACCUGAAACCGUGUACGUACAAGCAGUGGGAGCACAGGUUUACCUGUGUGACUGCGUACCUUUUGUAUAAUGGGUCAGCGACUUAUAUUCUGUAGCAAGGUUAACCGCAUAGGGGAGCCGGAGGGAAACCGAGUCUUAAUUGGGCGUUAAGUUGCAGGGUAUAGACCCGAAACCCGGUGAUCUAGCCAUGGGC